rnacentral:rRNA from 1 species
AGUUUGAUCAUGGCUCAGAUUGAACGCUGGCGGCAUGCCUUACACAUGCAAGUCGAACGGCAGCACGGGAGCUUGCUCCUGGUGGCGAGUGGCGAACGGGUGAGUAAUGCAUCGGAACGUGCCCUGAAGUGGGGGAUAACGUAGCGAAAGUUACGCUAAUACCGCAUAUUCUGUGAGCAGGAAAGCAGGGGAUCUUCGGACCUUGCGCUUUUGGAGCGGCCGAUGUCGGAUUAGCUAGUUGGUGGGUAAAGGCCCACCAAGGCGACGAUCCGUAGCGGGUCUGAGAGGAUGAUCCGCCACACUGGAACUGAGACACGGUCCAGACUCCUACGGGAGGCAGCAGUGGGGAAUUUUGGACAAUGGGCGCAAGCCUGAUCCAGCCAUGCCGCGUGAGUGAAGAAGGCCUUCGGGUUGUAAAGCUCUUUCGCAAGGAAAGAAAACUUAUCUCCUAAUACCGAGGUCGAGGUUGACGGUACCUUGAUAAGAAGCACCGGCUAACUACGUG